UGCACACAUCUUCUUCUCCAAGGUUUGUGUGCAGAACAUCCUGCCCAUGCUGCCCCAGCAGCUUCAGUUGGCACCUGCCUCAGUCCAGCCUCUGGGAACCAUGCAGCAGCUCCCAGCGGCCCUGCACCCACCACCAGCAUCCGUUUCACCUGCAGUUGAAGAUCCGUGAGGUGCCCAGAAGAUCAUGCAGUCAUCAGUCCCACGGAGCAGCCUGCGAGGCUGAGGCUCCUCCCACUGGACCGCCCCCCAACUGGCACCACUGCUGCCCCUGCCCCUACUCUCAGCCUCACGUGACUCUCGGGCAGAAGCACUGGUGGGGCAGCCAGGGCAGCGUCAAGAGUCUGAGCCAGCUGCAGGACAAGUUCGAGCAUCUUAAAAUGAUUCAACAGGAGGAGAUAAGGAAGCUCGAGGAAGAGAAAAAAAAACUGGAAGGAGAAAUCAUAGAUUUUUAUAAAAUGAAAGCUGCCUCUGAAGCACUGCAGACUCAGCUGAGCACCGAUACAAAGAAAGACAAACAUCCUGAUCCAUAUGAAUUCCUCUUAUUAAGAAAAAUAAAGCAUCCAGGAUUCAAUGAAGAACUGACUAUCACCUUGUUAAUCAUUCAGAAACAUGUUGCAGGCUUAAGCCAUUUUUGAUAUAGAUACUGAAACAAUUACUUGCUAAGAGCAAACUUGAAGGUAUGGAUAAGGCCCUGAGUCAUCUUCCUGAGCUGAAUGAUAGUUAAGCU
rnacentral:lncRNA from 1 species